rnacentral:tRNA from 1 species
GGGAAAGUAGUCUAGCUUGGUAUGAUUCUUGGUCCGGAUGGUAGAGGUCGGGGGUUCAAAUCCCCUCUUUCCCA